rnacentral:lncRNA from 1 species
AAAUAUGACAUAUCCUUCAUCGUGGCUAGUGAUCUUAGAGAAUUAUAUUAGAUCUCCAAUCAUGUGCCUUGAGCAUCCACUAUUAAGGUACCAUCUCUUCCUUCGAACUUUUGAUUGUAGACAUAUCUACAAGAAGGGGGGAUUCGCUAUAGGUACUCAUUUAGCUUUAGGUCCCUCAUGAAAAGAUCUACCUAUCUUAACUAAUGGAAUUAAGUUAUUUAUGGUUCAUUUAGGAACUCAAACUAAUUUGUCUGUAUUAGGAUCGAGU